ACUGCUCAGUAACACGUAGUCAACCUGCCCUCAAGACGGAGAUAAUCCCGGGAAACUGGGCGUAAUAUCCGAUAGGCGAUAAUUGCUGGAAAGCAUCUUCGCCAAAAGCAGCAAUGUGCUUGAGGAUGGGACUGCGUCGGAUUAGCUUGUUGUUGAGGUAAUUGCUCAACAAGGCUAUAAUCUGUACGGGUCGUGAGAGCGAUAGCCCGGAGAUGGCUUCUGAGACAUGAAGCCAGGCCCUACGGGGCGCAGCAGGCGCGAAAACUUCGCAAUGCAUGAAAGUGUGACGAGGGAAUCCUGAGUGGCAUCGCAAUGCGGUGCCUUUUGUACACUGUAAACAGGUGUAUGAAUAAGGGGUGGGUAAGACGGUUGCCAGCAGCCGCGGUAAUA
rnacentral:rRNA from 1 species